rnacentral:lncRNA from 1 species
AAGGUAGCGGCGGAACUUCGGCGGUGGACGGUGGUCUCCGGCGGUUUAAACAGGAAAGAUAGAGAAAGGUGAGCGUUCGCGAGGUGGGAGGUGGUUGCAGGCGGUUUUCCGACAGGCGGUUCGAAGGUGGUUGUGAACGAGAGUUGUGAGAUUGUGAAGGAACGGAGUCUCGGUAUAUAGGAAUCGAAGGCGGUUCCCGAACUUUGGAAACGAUCGUGUGUUUGGAAACCGAAUCAAUUCGGUUAAUGGCAAUCAUGUUGAAUAUUUGAUUGGCAAUCAAGAAUGAUAAUAAAGGAAAAGAUGAAGGAAUCGGGAAGUUUUCACGAAAUGGAAAGAAAAAGUCAAAAGCUGUUGCUGAAUUUCUGUUUUGGGCGGCAAAUGGUAUCAGAUCGCCUUGCCUUCGAAAUAGUGGUUAAAUAUGGUUGAGAGGUU